GAAGUGCUGCCAUCUCUACUCCUGAAACCUUAACUUUUUUUUUUCCAUCAGUGAAUGAAAGUUAGUUGAGCCAGAGCUUUGUCCCAUACAUAAUGCAUCCAACCUAUUACUUUAUCAGGUCGCCUCUCUCCACUUGCCGAGUUAAUGAGAACCUCGAUCUUGCAACCCUCUAGUUUCUAGUGGCCAGCCUCCUGUGCUGCCAAUUACUAGGCCGGAAAUUUGAUUUCUUAUGCAUGUCAUCCGCAGUGAUGAACUGAAUGGCCAGCAAGUCCCAGUGAUGGAACAAGAACUUCUGGCUCAGCAACCUCACUACUGCAGAAGAACUGCAACAGCCCUGGAUGCUGAACAACUGAGCCAGUCCCUGGUGAAAGCCUCCAGUCAAGGCAGGCAGGAUGAAGAGACAGUAUGGAUGCUGCCUUUGGCAGGAGAAACCUAAAGGUGGAAGCAGGAUGAGGUGACUGAGAACGUGAGAGAGACCAGGGAGGAGAGGACGGCCCAGCGGGAGGGAACAGAAGCUGUAGUAGGUAAAGCACUGCAUCAAGAAAAAGCAGCAGAGUGCAUGUCUCCUCUGCAGGGCUGGUAGAAUCCCACAAAGACAGAUUCUCCAAAGACCAGACAGAGAGAGGACAAGUUCCAGACAGAGACAAAGGGAAAUCUCUUGAACUAUUAAAGCAGUUUGGAACAGAAUGGGUUGACUUGGAACUGGCAUCUUCAUAGCGGCCUUUGAGAAAACAUUUUAGAAGCUAACCAGUAUUCACCAACAGAACGUGUCAAAGUCCAAGAUAGCAAUGAUCCAAAUGAAGUUCGCGUUUGAUCCCAUGCAUAUGUUUGUAACAUCACUAUAUUGCUUGACACUACUAUCUCACAACACAAUUUGCUAAAAUGAAUUGUUUGGUAGAUAUAUAAAACUGUUGUGUAAACUUUUGAUGGAUUAUUCCCUUUGUGCUGAUAGGAAUGUGUAGAUGGGGAACUCUGCUGCUAGUUCAUUUUCCAUCUAAAAUAUAAGAAAUUAAGCCACCAAUCUUGUUUUUCUAUUGAAAUUCUUCAGGAUAU